CUAGGAUGCAAGACUGAUUUCAACAUAUGCAAAUCAAUAAAUGUGAUUCACCACAUGAACGGAAUAAAAACAAAAAACACAUGAUCAUCUCAAUAGAUGCAGAAAAGGCUUUUGAUAAAAUUCAGCAACCUUCAUGUUAAAAACCUUCAAAAAACUAGGCAUUGAAGGACAUACCUCAAAAUAGUAAGCCAUCCACAACAAAACCC
rnacentral:lncRNA from 10 species